UACGUAGGCAGCAAGCGUUGUUCGGAAUUACUGGGCGUAAAGAGUGUGUAGGCGGUGCUCUAAGUCUGUUGUGAAAUCUCCCGGCUUAACCGGGAGGGUGCGGCGGAAACUGGAGUGCUUGAGGGUGGGAGAGGUAAGCGGAAUUCCUGGUGUAGCGGUGAAAUGCGUAGAUAUCAGGAGGAACACCUGUGGUGUAGACAGCUUACUGGACCACUUUCUGACGCUGAGACACGAAAGCGUGGGUAGCAAACAGG
rnacentral:rRNA from 1 species